UACUUCAAUUGUCACAUCAAUGUUGAGGCAUGUAGAAGCAUAAAGGCUGUUAAAUACCUGUUCAAGUACAUAUACAAGGGCCAUGAUCGAGCAUCUAUUUCUCUGAGUGAGUCUGACAAGGCUAACAAAAAUGGAGGUAUAGAUGAGAUCAAACAGUACAGGGACGCUAGGUGGGUGAAUCCUCCAGAAGCAUUAUGGAGGAUAUAUGGCUUUGAAUUGAGCAAGAACUCACCACCUGUGAUGCAGUUGCAACUCCAUCUGCCCAACAUGCACAUGGUGUCAUUUAGAAAGGGGCAAGAU
rnacentral:rRNA from 1 species